GAGAGUUAAAUAGUACGUGAAAUUGUUGAAAGGGAAACGAUUGAAGUCAGUCAUGCCGGCGUUGGAUUCAGCUUGCUUCGCGGAGCUUGCGCAUUUCCUCGCAUGGCAGGUCAGCGUCAGUUUUGCGCGGCGUGAAAAGGCUCGGGUAAGGUAGCUCUCUUCGGGGAGUGUUAUAGACCUGGGCAAAUGCGCAGCGCGGGACUGAGGAUUGCAGCGGACACCCCUUCGGGGGCGCGGCGACCGAACCCUGCUCGGCCACCUUCGUUCGAUAGCGUGCUAACGGACGCGGGAGCGGCAGUGCACCGGAACAGGCAAGCCAGCGGUUCGCUUAGGAUGCUGACGUAAUGGCUUUAAACGA
rnacentral:rRNA from 1 species